rnacentral:tRNA from 1 species
UCCCCAGCAGCUCAGAGGGUAGAGAAUCUGCCUACCAUGCAGGAGAGACCCAGGUUCGAUCCCUGGCUCAGGAA